rnacentral:lncRNA from 1 species
AUACUGCCUGUGUUGUGCAGAAAGACACCAUCACCUACCUGAACAGCACGUGGUGUGAAAUUGUGAAACCACAAUAUGGUUGAUAUUGGAUGCUUUGAGGUCUGAACAAGAGCUUCCCUGUUUGGGACCCACACUUGUUUCCAGCUAGCUGCACUUUGCUUAAGAUGAACAACAGAUGAAAGAACAUACUUGUUGGAAAUGCUAUCACCCAGGAGAAAUGUGAGAAGGGAGGCUCCUCUUAGCCUCUUUGUGGAUUUGUUUGUACUCCCUCUGGUGGCUGAUUCAGAUCUGCAUGUCCUGUCCCUUCGGUGUGUGAAGCAACCACACCCUGUCUGAUUCAAGAAGUCCAGAACACUGGGAUCUUGGCCAAAUCCACAUGAGAAAACGUCUUUUCCCACUCCAUCCAAGAGUCAAGAAUUCUACGUGUGGGAAAGCAAAAAGACGUCAAAGUAGAUUAGUUACUGGAAACUUUGGAAUUAGAAUGGAAACAAGCCAUCAUAAAAGCAGAGAAAAUACAUCUUUUGCACCUGAACUAGAAAAUAGAUGGCAGGUGAUAAAUGAAUAGACUUUGGACUACUCUCCGACUGUAAACUUUCCUGCACUUUUAUGUGAAACUAACAGUUCACUUUAAAUAUCUACAAUGAGUUCUGACAGAGAAGAGCAGGCAGCUCAAAUAAUGAAGGUCAGCAACUAAUGCCCAAAUCCCACUGCUUUAGAAUGUGCUCAAACACAGCCUCAGAUGCAUGAAGAGGAGCAAACACAUUUGUCCCACCCAUGACCCCAUCAGUAGCAGCCUGGGCCGGUGGUGGACAUGGCUGGAAUCCAAAGGUCAAAUAGACCCAGAGAGAAGGACACACAAUUUGGGAAGGUCCCAGUGUGACCUUGAUGGGAUAGAUGGAAUAAGCAGUUCAGGCUUAAAAGCCUAAAGUGCUGAGAUCAUGGAUUGCUUUUGAACCAUUAUUAUAGCUUUAAGAUGCUUUGGAGGUAAAGGAACUGAAAGUGACAUAGAAAAGAGACAAGGCUGUUUGUUUGCUUCCUGAGGAAAUAGUAUUUCUCAGUAUUCCUAGAAUCCAAACCUUUCCUGUCUCAAUGUUUUGGUUUUCUAAGGGAUAGAUGAAUCCUCUCUCCAGCCAUAUAGAGGGAGUGAAUGAAUCCAAAACCACUGACUGAAAGGAACCCAACAGACAUGAAAGAAGGAGGAAAAAGAGAAGAGGAGGAGGAGAAAGAAGAAGGGCAAACUAUGUCAACCAUGUGAUAGAGCAUCUCUGGGUUUUCAGAGAGGCCAGCAAACCCUAGUAAUAGCAUUGCUGGUGAGAUCUUGAGUUGUUAGUAGAAACAUUCCCUCCA